rnacentral:ncRNA from 1 species
GUUCCACGUGAACAGUAGUUGAAUGUGUGUCAGCUGAUCCUAAGGUACUGGUUAUACCUCGUAUCAUUGAGAGGGAAUAUGUUCUUUUCUCUCGGAUAUCGAAAGGGAAUAGGGUCAAUAUUCCCUAACGCAGACAUAGAGAUUGCGGCUACUUGAUUCGCUUGUACGGUAAUGCAUUCGAACCUGGUUAUUUCGCUCAGAGACCGAGCUAGAGUUCUUUUCUCUAGUUAAGGAACGGACUCCCUGGAAGGGUCAUAAAUGUGAAAAAUUAUACCAUUGUCAAGGGCUGUGAAGUGAGAUUUUACACUUCUCCAGCUGUUCGUCGCCGGAGUUCUGGACUUCGAGAGCUGAUAUUCUAGUGCAGCGUUAGA